GCGCAACCACUCAUUGUAAGCGCUGCUAUAGGAUUUGUUUUGGCAUGAGUGGAAUAUGAUGGUGAGAGAUGCAAUUACAAUAAGGAAACAUAUUGCAUGUAUUUUCACGUUCAUAAGAUAAAUGAUUACAAUGAUUGCUCGAAAUUACGGACAUUAAUGAAAUAAUGAAGCGGUAAAGAAAGCAGUUAAAGGAAAGAGAAAACAUGAAGAGUCAAGUUAGUAAUUGUGAUGGAAUAAUC
rnacentral:lncRNA from 1 species